rnacentral:rRNA from 1 species
GACGAACGCUGGCGGCGUGCUUAACACAUGCAAGUCGAACGCUGAAGCUCAGCUUGCUGGGUGGAUGAGUGGCGAACGGGUGAGUAACACGUGAGUAACCUGCCCCCUUCUUUGGGAUAACGCCCGGAAACGGGUGCUAAUACUGGAUAUUCACUGAUCUUCGCAUGGGGGUUGGUGGAAAGGUUUUUUCUGGUGGGGGAUGGGCUCGCGGCCUAUCAGCUUGUUGGUGGGGUGAUGGCCUACCAAGGCUUUGACGGGUAGCCGGCCUGAGAGGGUGACCGGGAACCGUGGGACUGAGAUAAGGCCCAGGCUACUAAGGGAGGGAGAAGUGGGGGAUAUUGGAGAAAGGGCGAAAGCCUGAUGCAGCGACGCCGAGUGAGGGAUGGAGGCCUUAGAGUUGUAAACCUAUUUCGCUCAUGGUCAAGCCGCAACAUUGGUUGUGGUGAGGGUAGUGGGUAAAGAAGCGCCGGCUAACUACGUG